rnacentral:rRNA from 1 species
UGGGGAAUAUUGCACAAUGGGGGAAACCCUGAUGCAGCGACGCCGCGUGGAGGAAGAAGGUCUUCGGAUUGUAAACUCCUGUUGUUGAGGAAGAUAAUGACGGUACUCAACAAGGAAGUGACGGCUAACUACGUGCCAGCAGCCGCGGUAAAACGUAGGUCACAAGCGUUGUCCGGAAUUACUGGGUGUAAAGGGAGCGCAGGCGGGAAGACAAGUUGGAAGUGAAAUCCAUGGGCUCAACCCAUGAACUGCUUUCAAAACUGUUUUUCUUGAGUAGUGCAGAGGUAGGCGGAAUUCCCGGUGUAGCGGUGGAAUGCGUAGAUAUCGGGAGGAACACCAGUGGCGAAGGCGGCCUACUGGGCACCAACUGACGCUGAGGCUCGAAAGUGUGGGUAGCAAACAGGAUUAGAUACCCUGGUAGUCCACACCGUAAACGAUGAUUACUAGGUGUUGGAGGAUUGACCCCUUCAGUGCCGCAGUUAACACAAUAAGUAAUCCACCUGGGGAGUACGACCGCAAGGUUGAAACUCAAAGGAAUUGACGGGGGCCCGCACAAGCAGUGGAGUAUGUGGGUUUAAUUCGACGCAACGCGAAGAACCUUACCAAGUCUUGACAUCCUGCGACGGAUAUAGAAAUAUGUCUUUCCUUCGGGACGCAGAGACAGGUGGUGCAUGGUUGUCGUCAGCUCGUGUCGUGAGAUGUUGGGUUAAGUCCCGCAACGAGCGCAACCCUUAUGGUCAGUUACUACGCAAGAGGACUCUGGCCAGACUGCCGUUGACAAAACGGAGGAAGGUGGGGAUGACGUCAAAUCAUCAUGCCCUUUAUGACUUGGGCUACACACGUACUACAAUGGCGUUAAACAAAGAGAAGCAAGACCGCGAGGUGGAGCAAAACUCAGAAACAACGUCCCAGUUCGGACUGCAGGCUGCAACUCGCCUGCACGAAGUCGGAAUUGCUAGUAAUCGUGGAUCAGCAUGCCACGGUGAAUACGUUCCC